GGAGUUGUAGCUCAUCGGUAGAGCACUCGCCUAGCACGUGUGCGGCUCUGGGUUCGAUCUCAGCACCA
rnacentral:tRNA from 1 species